rnacentral:rRNA from 1 species
AGGGGGCUAGCGUUGCUCGGAAUCACUGGGCGUAAAGCGCACGUAGGCGGUUUGCUAAGUCAGGGGUGAAAUCCUGGAGCUCAACUCCAGAACUGCCUUUGAUACUGGCGACCUUGAGUCCGGGAGAGGUGAGUGGAACUGCGAGUGUAGAGGUGAAAUUCGUAGAUAUUCGCAAGAACACCAGUGGCGAAGGCGGCUCACUGGCCCGGUACUGACGCUGAGGUGCGAAAGCGUGGGGAGCAAACAGG